AGUAAUAGCGNGACACAUGCCCCAUGCUCCAGAAUAGCUCUUGGAAACGGGUGGUAAUGCUGGAUGCUCCAACUUGACGCAUGUCUUGUUGGGAAAGUGUUUAGUGGCAUGGGAUGGGGUCGCGUCCUAUCAGCUUGUAGGCGGGGUAAUGGCCCACCUAGGCUUCGACGGGUAGCCGGCCUGAGAGGGCGGACGGCCACAUUGGGACUGAGAUACGGCCCAGACUCCUACGGGAGGCAGCAGCC
rnacentral:rRNA from 1 species